GAUGAACGCUGGCGGCGUGCCUAAUACAUGCAAGUCGAGCGAACAGACCAGGACCUUGCUCCUCUGACGUUAGCGCCCGACGGGUGCGUAACACGUGGUUAACCUACCUAUCCGACUGGGAUACCUUCGGCAAACCGUAUCUUCUGCCCGAUAAUUUAUUGAACCUCAUUGUUCAAUCGUGAAAGUCGCUUUUUCUUUCACUUAUAGCUUGAUACGGCCCUCAUCAGUUAGUUGGCAAGGUAACGGCUUACCAACGCAACGAUGGUUACACGACCUGAAAGGGUGAUUGGCCACACGGGAACAGAGACAGGUUCCAGACUCCUGCGGGAGGAAGCGGUAGGGAAUCUUCCGCAAUGGGCGAGAGCCUGACAGAGCAACGCCGCGUAAGUGAUGAAGGUCUUCGGAUCGUAAAACUCUGUUAUUAGGGAAGAACAAAUGUGUAAGUAACUAUGCACGUAUUGACGGUACCUAAUCAGAAAGCCACGGCUAACUACGUG
rnacentral:rRNA from 1 species